UGGUGAGGUAGGCUGGACAAUAGAUAUACUGAACAGGGAUGGAGAGUGAGCUGGUGAGGUAGACUGGACAGGGAUGGAGAGUGAGCUGGUGAUGUAGACUGGUCAAUAUAAAUACUGGACAGGGAUGGAGAGUGAGCUAGUGAGGUAGACUGGUCAAUAUAUAUACUGGACAGGGAUGGAGAGUGAGCUGGUGAGGUAGACUGGACAAUACAUAUACUGAACAGGGAUGGAGAGUGAGCUGGUGAGGUAGACUGGACAGGGAUGGAGAGUGAGCUAGUGAGGUAGACUGGUCAAUAUAUAUACUGGACAGGGAUGGAGAGUGAGCUGGUGAGGUAGACUGGUCAAUAUAUAUACUGGACAGGGAUGGAGAGUGAGCUGGUGAGGUAGACUGGACAGGGAUGGAGAGUGAGCUGGUGAGGUAGACUGGACAGGGA